rnacentral:tRNA from 1 species
GCGCCCGUAGCUCAGCUGGAUCAGAGCGUCUGACUACGGAUCAGAAGGUCUGGGGUUCGAAUCCUCACGGGCGCGCCA